UGUAUAUAAACAAUUAUGUUUAUUUUUAUGUUUUUAAAUUCUGUUUAUUUUGAAGUCUAUUUUUUGUUAUUAAGUCGUGGUGGGAAGGGGGAAUACAUAAGGCGCCUCACCAACAAAAUUUUAAUAAAAACCCCCACUGACUAACCGUAAGUCCUAAGCUUAAGCGGCCCGGUGAUUAUUAGGAGUCUUUGGCAUAGUCUGUGAGGACGGAUCAUUGUUACAAGAUGAAACGGUGCACGUAUUUUACGUGGCACCGUCGUGUAAUAAUGAACAACUUCUUCGGGUUUUUUUUUAUACAAGAUUAUGGUUUAUUUCUAUGGUAAGAUUAAUUAUCUACAAUUUGUAAAAGGGGAGGGUUCGAGGGUAGAGAUGGGUCGUUCGCGAACGAACUAGUUCAAUUGAACUAUUCACCCAAGUGAACGAUUGGACCUAGUUCACUAAAAGGUGAACGACAUCGUUCACCACUGAAAUCGUUCACCCAAUGAACGUAAAACGACAAAACGACGAACGAAAUCGUUCAUUCGUUCAUUCGAGAAAAACUUUUUACCGAAACGACAAAAUGGUAAAUAUAAUAUAAUUUUCGCUCGUUCAAUCGUUCAUUUCAUCAAACCCCAUAUGAAGUAUGAACUAAGAUAACAUUAUCUAAUAUCUAUUAUAUAUAAUAUUAUCUCGAACCGUCACUUGUUAGUUGUUCAAAAUUAAAAUGUUACCUAUUGGCUUUUACCAAACUAUAAAGCAUAUAGUUAUUAUUUAUUAAUAUUAUAUAUUAUAAUAUUUUAUAUAUUAAAUACCGGUACUACAUUUAUUAGUAGGAGAUAUAAUUUAAUAAUCUAUUUUCUAAUCAAAUUCUGUCUAUUUAAAAGGUCACAAUCCAUUAUUCUAGGUCAGUACUCAGUAUUUUACUUCAGAACUUUAACAUAUUACCUUAACCAUUUUCAAUAUAAGGUACCUAUUACAACAGAUUUUGGUUUAAAAAUAAUACCUUGGAAGAUUUUGAGGCUAGCAUUCGAUUUCUCCUCUCUGUUAUCACUAAACCUGCUUUGCUAAAAAGCCUUUCGCAUGGCACAGAGGUAGCAAGUAUGCACAACCGUUUUUUUACUAUUAUAAAUAAACGUGGAUAUAAUAAUUUGUGAGCUGUCCACCAUUUUAACGAAUCUUCAUGUCGAUUUAUGAGUGGUUCAUUCUCAUAUUUGUCCAACUCAAUGGUUUGUUAGGUUAAAAAAAAUAUGUUAACUUUUCCAAAAAGUAUAAAAGUAUUUUUAUUUUAUAUACAUACAUUCAGUUUUAAAAACAUCAAUUAUUUUUCCUACAUAACCUAGUAAAAAAGUUACCGAAUACAGAUCUAUUUUCGAAAUGUAAAUCGGAUCAUAGAAAGUAACUAAAAAAAUCUUUCUCUUAUAGUUAGUUUGUACUGAUUUUAAAAACGGAAAAUUGUCAAAAACUUAAUUUGGUGACCUGUGCAUGCGCGUGCUUGAGUGAGACUGUUCUUAGAAUCGUAGACGAUCUAAUAUCAUGGUCAUUAGCCUAAUGAUCUAUAAGGUACAGAUAUAGUAAUGUUCUCGGAAAUAAUACUAACUCCGAAAGUCGUCGCUUAUUCAAUUAUUAAUUUUGUAUUUCGGUGUUCAUUCAUUCAAUCUUCAGUCUUCAUUUCUUCAAUCGUUCUCUGUAAUAUUUUUUCAAAAAUGGGUAAAGAUUGGCGUUAUGGUCAAAAAUCUCGCCGGAAAUUAUUUGUUCCAAAGAAGAAACCAAAACAUAAUUUAGCGAACUUGAACUCAAAAAAAUGUGUAACCGUUGUUCCAGACAACUACCAACAAAACGUAGCAACUAGUCCAGAUAAUACAACGCCAAAAAAAAAUUAUGUCGAUACAAAUAUUGAAGUUCACCAAGUCUAUAAUAGUAUACCAGGUCCAUCUGGCUAUAUUAGUGAAAAGUAAGUAACUGGUAUUUAAGUAUUUAAAUAUUAAGUAUAUUUGAUUUUCGAACAAAACCUAUGUUAAAAAUGUUUUGAAUAACACAAUAUUUAAAAACUAAAGCGAUCUUCCGACAAUUUGUUAUAUGGAUAGAACAAUUUGUAACAAAUCUUGUAUAUAAAUUAUAAAACAAAUUCAAAUUUUGAAAGAAGCGGGUAAGUGGGUAUCGCUCU